UACGUAGGUGGCAAGCGUUGUCCGGAUUUAUUGGGCGUAGAGCGAGCGCAGGCGGUUCCUUAAGUCUGAUGUGAAAGCCCCCGGCUCAACCGGGGAAGGUCAUUGGAAACUGGGGAACUUGAGUGCAGAAGAGGAGAGUGGAAUUCCAUGUGUAGCGGUGAAAUGCGUAGAUAUAUGGAGGAACACCAGUGGCGAAGGCGGCUCUUUGGCUCGCAACUGACGCUGAGGCGCGAAAGCGUGGGGAGCAAACAGG
rnacentral:rRNA from 1 species